CGCGUAGGCGGCUCAUAAAGGCUGUGGUGAAAGUUCGGGGCUCAACCUCGAAUCGGCCGUGGCGACUUGUGGGCUGGAGCACUGUAGAGGCGGGUGGAAUUCCGGGUGUAGCGGUGGAAUGCGUAGAGAUCCGGAAGAACACCAGUGGCGAAGGCGGCCCGCUGGGCAGUGGCUGACGCUGAAGCGCGACAGCGUGGGAGCAAACA
rnacentral:rRNA from 1 species